rnacentral:lncRNA from 1 species
CACCUCGACAUUUCAUAGUGUAUGUAUAUAUCUUUUUAUAUUCGCCAUGCCUAUACUCUUUUCAAUUUUUAGCAACACCUAACAACGGUGCUGAAGAAAAUUUUUAUGCAUAUACAUACAAAUUCCUAUGCAUCCUGAGUAUUCUAUCCUAAGAAGAAUUUCUAUGUAACGCAUCAUGAUCAACACGGAUAGCGCAUUCCAUCAUGAGCAGAAGGUGGCUAGAGAAAAUUUUUAUGUAUAUAUAUACAAAAUUUAUGUUUCACAGCAUGCAUACAAAAGUUUCUAUGCAUAUUUUAAGAUGACUUGAAUGCAGGUUCUAUGCGUCAUGAUGAGAAACAAGCUAGGCCUGAUCCAGUAGAGGCACGGGGUGUGGACCUGCCGAAGUACACAUUGCAUGCUUGUAUGUAUUGGUAUGUAUUCUAUAUAUUGUUGGAACGGAUUUCUAUACAGUAUUGGAGCACAGUUCUAUAAUUUGUUGGAACAGCUAUUUGUGCAGCUAUUUCCGGAUGGAUGAUAGUUUAUAGCCAUGAUUUUCUCUUAGCUACACUUUCAGCCAUGAUUUUUUUCAUUAAUCCAAAGACAUUAAUUUCACAAAUAGGUUUUCUAUCAUGAUAUUUCAUGACAGAAGCCAGUGCUCCUCUAUUAAUUAUACCCCAUGUUAAUUUCUAGUAUGCUCCACUAUGUUAAUUUCUAUGCAUUGUUAAUUUUCUAUACAUUGUUAAUUUUCUUAGUGAAAUUGAUUUCCUACGUAUCAUUAAUUUCUUGUAUGCUCCUCCAUGUUAAUUUCCAUGCUUCAUGUGUGAUGGAUGGUGUUUCUUGCAGCUAUAAGGUUUUUGCGCAUACUAAAACAUGUUUCUAUGCCUUUCUUUGCCACCGUAAGUUUUUUACGUCUGCUCAAAUAUGUUUCUAUGUCUUUGUUGUGGUGUAGGAUGGUUGGAAGGAUUCCUCUAUUUUUGGUGUGAGGUCAAUGGUGGCUCGGACAUCAUAGGACAUGACUUGCGACGUUUACAACUUCCUUGAGUUUGUGAUGGUGGCGUAGUGUGAUAUUCGAUAUAGUUGAUGGAUUAAUGUAAAAAGUUAGUUUUUCAUAUGUUGUGUUUAUAUGCUUGGAUAAUAUGAGCGAAAGUAUUGAUUUCUAUGUAACCUCUGUUGGGUUUCAAUAUUUUGGUUAACUGAGUGUCUAUGCAUGUUGUGAGUUGGGAACAUUAUGGAUAGUCCACACUAGUAUGUAGUGUUUUGUAUGUUUCAUUUCCUAAAAGGAAGUAUGGUGUAAAGUUUCUAUACAUUGUUGCUCUAUUAAAUUAACAUAUCCUCGUGCAAAGAACGGUGUGGGUAUGGGUAGUGAUGGUCUUAGUUGUAAUAGACCCCCAUAGCAGGAAGCAUGAUGUUGUUAUAGACAAUCAUGGUUGUGUCAGGUGGAAUGUCCAUCUCAUGUAGAGGUUUUUACGCAGCAAUGAAUUUAAUUUUUAUUCAUUGAACUACUAAUUUGUAUGCAACGUGGCACUAAAAACCUUUAUGCGCAUCUUGACUAUUGAUUCUAUGUACCUACUAA